UUGAAAGAAGCGACAGAUCGAGAAGUUGAAAGGAUUGGGUUUAAAGAGGCCCAUUCUUCUUUAAAGAAAAUUUGUAUUUUGUCAUUUAUUGGGUCUAAGCCUAUUUAAUUAUUAUUAUUAUUUAUGUUAAAGUUUAGGACAGGCUAGGACAGGUGAAAGAAUUAGGGCCUUGGCCCAAAGAGAAAACAUUCUAUAUUUGUGUUAGAUUAGGACAGGUGCAGGUGACUCAAACGGGCCAAAGGCCCAAAAUG
rnacentral:lncRNA from 1 species